rnacentral:rRNA from 1 species
CCAAUAGCGUAUAUUAAAGUUGUUGCAGUUAAAAAGCUCGUAGUUGAAUUUCGGGAUUAGUGCGCUGGUCAUGCCUUUGGUAUGUACUGGUGUUACUGGUUCCUACCUUCUGAAGAAUCGUUAUGUCAUUCAUUUGGUGUGGCGGGGAAUCAGGACUGUUACUUUGAAAAAAUUAGAGUGUUUAAAGCAGGCUCGCGCUUGAAUACAUUAGCAUGGAAUAAUGAAAUAGGACGUUUGACCCUAUUUUGUUGGUUUCUAGGAUCGACGUAAUGAUUAAUAGGGAUAGUUGGGGGCAUUAGUAUUCAAUUGUCAGAGGUGAAAUUCUUGGAUUUAUUGAAGACUAACUACUGCGAAAGCAUUUGCCAAGGAUGUUUUCAUUAAUCAAGAACGAAAGUUAGGGGAUCGAAGACGAUCAGAUACCGUCGUAGUCUUAACCAUAAACUAUGCCGACUAGGGAUCGGAUGAUGUUAUUUUUAGUGACUCAUUCGGCGCCUUACG